CCACUUUUAAUUUGUCUCUUUUAAUUGGCUUAUUAAAGAAGAGUGGCCAGGCAUGACUUGGGCACAGUUUUGCAAACCCCUCCCCCCCCCCCAGCCUCUGCAAGUUGAAUAACGGUGCCUCUGCCUCACUAAUGCUGGGAUUAAAGGGUUAAUUCUAGCACUUGGGAAGCAGAGGCAGGUGGGUCUCUGCGAGUUUGAGGCCAGCCUGGACUGUAUAUCAAGUUUCAGAUACACAGAAACACCCUGUCUCAAAAAGGAAAAAGAAAGAAAAAAAGAAAAAAGAAAAAUUGAUCAUGGGAUGAAAGAGAAACUGAGGAACUCUUCCUGUAGGUAAAGUAAAUGCAAAGAAGGAUGGAGUGGAUGUGAGCAGCGCUUCAGAAGCCUCUUCUGGGUAAUACCAACAAGUGAAAGCAGCAAGAUGUAGAUGAGCUCAUGGUUUGCUGCCCCCUGUAUUUGAGAUGAAGCAGUGAGUACAUAAAGCCUGUGUAUGUGUGACUCAAUACAAAGAACAGUCUUUGAAUAAACAAGGACGGUGGUGGUUGGUAGGAAAGAGA
rnacentral:lncRNA from 1 species